AGAGUGAGAAACUAAUCAAAAUCAAUACCACACCAACACAUUGCAUACAAGUGCACGGAACAUAAAAAUAAUCCUAAAGUAUGAUUAAACCUAACUCUAAAACUCUAAAUUAAACAGUUACCAAAUCUCAUAAAAAACAUUUUUUUAAAAAAAGAGCUGAUAAAAAUGCAUAAAUAAUUAAUCAAAAUAAAAAUAAACUCAAAUUAGCUAAAAACGAAGGAGAAGAAGGAUUCAAACCUGCUUUAUCCCGUAAAGGCGAACUGGAAAACCCUAGUAUUAAGUAGAAAUGCUAUGAAUCUUCAACAACAACAACAAAAAAAACCUCGAAACUUCAAAACCCUAGAUGGAGAGAAAAAUGAAGCGGCGGUGACGUUAGAGAGAGAAAGACGGACAGAGAUCAGAGAGAGAGAUUCAUGGCUUAAUACAUGACGAAGACACAUGUUAAGUACGUACAGGUGAUCUUAUUAGGAAAGAGCAAUUAAGGUCCCCAAGUUUUUCAUUUUUUUUAUUUCAAAUUUAAAUUUCAGAAUUUUUUAAAAAUUAAAAAACUCUAGAAGUCAAAUCACUCAAAAAAUUCAAAAACAACUCCAAAUUGUAUUUAUGUACAAACACAACUCUAAUUUUCAAAUAUCAUUUUACUUGAAUUUAUUUCUCACUUUUUUCCCGAAAUUUCUAAAUUCUUAUGUGUCACACCUCCUUUUUGCGCGCCCGCCUCCGGAGGGUUAAAUGCGCGAGGGGAGUUUUUCCAAUUUAAGUGACAAUAUUCGAAAUGGGAUUAUUUGUUUAAUUCAGGGUCGCCACUUGGGAAAGAUUUGGCUUUUGGUGUCCCAAGUCACCGGUUUAUCUUGAAUCCGAAUCGAGGAAAAUAUUCAACUUUUCCAAAUGAAGUCUGCGAACCAGAAAUUCUAAGUAAGGAAUUCUGUUGACCCGAGGGAAGGUGUUAGGCACCCUCGAAUCCCGUGGUUCUAGCACGGUCGCUUAAAUUGUUAUAAUGGCUAAAUAUCUGAUUUAAGUACAUGUUGUGACUUAUGUGCUUUUUAUUGAAUUUAAAACCGCUUUUAUUAUCAUUUAUUUUUAUAGAAUUGCAACGUCAUGAAAAUGCAUCUCGAACCACGUCACAAUCAAUGCGCCCGUGGUUGUUAACACAUUUCGACUCCGUUGAGAUUUGAAUUUGGGUCACAUAAAAUGCGCACCCGAAUUUAAGAAUGUAACUUAAUUAAUUCGCGCCUAAAGAGUCUAACGCGUUAUUAUUUUUUUUUGGGGAAAGACCGUGAAAUUCACUAAACAGUCCCUCCCAGAUUCUAAGUAUUUACUAUUAUCAAUUAUUGAGGGCCCCGCAACGUGCAUCUUUAUUUGACGAGGCUCGUCUCAUUAUUUUUUAAAAGGGAUAUCCUAAAGUGACUACAUUUCUAUUAUGUUUGUCUCUAAAAAAUAGAAGAAAAAGGAUACGUGCUUAAUUCAAUUGCAUGUUUUGGCCCACUCCGGAUUCCUGUUAAUCAUCUGAUUAGUUGUUUACGUGAUGAAGGAUGCUAUACCUCGUAGAACAUGCUUUUAAUUUGAUAAAAAUUACGUACAAGCUCAUGAAACGCUACACUUACUCCAAACAUUUCUUGAGUUGAAUUUAACUAAACUUAUUUAAACUAGAUUAAGGGAGUUAACUACCAGAAUGUUACUAAUGGGAUUCGAACAUGAUCCUACAUACUGCCUGACGAAGUUGAAACUCGAGAAUGUAAAACUGUAUUGUAUUUGGCGAGAUUUGAAAGCCAUCCACCCUACAUAUUCAAAGCAUGCUGGAGAACGAGUUUGAAUUAACAAUUAUACUAAAUGGUUGCAUAUUCUAUGAUUUAUAGUUACAUCCUGUAUACCACUUAAAUGAAUCACAUAUCACGAUUUUAGAUCAGCAUAAGCUUCAAUUAAGUACAAACUUACUAAAGUAUUCUCUAUUGAACUACAAACUAAAAUUUACACAAUUUAACAACAUUUAUAAAAAAACUGUAAGUAAAACAACAUAAUGAUCAUAAUUCUUUCAGAUCUUUCAAUUCAUGCUUUUCAUCGUUACACCAAUGUGGGACUCGAAAUGUGUACCUGAGAUGCUGAAAAUGCAAAGGAGAAGAGGAAGAAGAUAGGGAAAAUCAGCAGCAGCAGCAACAAGAUAGCAGCAACAACAAAAC
rnacentral:lncRNA from 1 species